GUGCUCGCUUCAGCAGCACAUAUACUAAGAUUGGAAUGAUACAGAGAAGAUUAGCCUGGCCCCUGCCCAAGGAUGACAAGCAAAUCCAUAUCAUGAAGCAUUCCAUAGUUUU
rnacentral:snRNA from 1 species